rnacentral:hammerhead_ribozyme from 1 species
UUUCAGCUAACGAGUCCUAAAUAGGACGAAACAUGCGUCCUAGAU